rnacentral:rRNA from 1 species
GAUGAACGCUGGCGGCGUGCCUAAUACAUGCAAGUCGAGCGAACAGACGAGGAGCUUGCUCCUCUGACGUUAGCGGCGGACGGGUGAGUAACACGUGGAUAACCUACCUAUAAGACUGGGAUAACUUCGGGAAACCGGAGCUAAUACCGGAUAACAUGUUGAACCGCAUGGUUCAACAGUGAAAGACGGUCUUGCUGUCACUUAUAGAUGGAUCCGCGCCGCAUUAGCUAGUUGGUAAGGUAAAGGCUUACCAAGGCAACGAUGCGUAGCCGACCUGAGAGGGUGAUCGGCCACACUGGAACGUAGACACGGUCCAGGCUCCUACGGGAGGCAGCAGUAGGGAAUCUUCCGCAAUGGGCGAAAGCCUGACGGAACAACGCCGCGUGAGUGAAGAAGGUCUUCGGAUCGUAAAACUCUGUUAUUAGGGAAGAACAAAUGUGUAAGUAACUAUGCACGUCUUGACGGUACCUAGUCAGAAAGCCACGGCUAACUACGUG